rnacentral:rRNA from 1 species
GAAUUGACGCUUCGGGUUGUAAGCCCUUUUGUUGGGAAAGAAAUCCAGCCGGCUAAUACCUGGUUGGGAUGACGGUACCAAAGAAUAAGCACCGGCUAACUUCGUGCCAGCAGCCGCGGUAAUACGAAGGGUGCAAGCGUUACUCGGAAUUACUGGGCGUAAAGCGUGCGUAGGUGGUCGUUUAAGUCCGUUGUGAAAGCCCUGGGCUCAACCUGGGAACUGCAGUGGAUACUGGGCGACUAGAGUGUGGUAGAGGGUAGCGGAAUUCCUGGUGUAGCAGUGAAAUGCGUAAAGAUCAGGAGGAACAUCCAUGGCGAAGGCAGCUACCUGGACCAACACUGACACUGAGGCACGAAAGCGUGGGGAGCAAACAGGAUUAGAUACCCUGGUAGUCCACGCCCUAAAUGAUGCGAACUGGAUGUUGGGUGCAACUUUGGCACGCAGUAUCGAAGCUAACGCGUUAAGUUCGCCGCCUGGGGAGUACGGUCGCAAGACUGAAACUCAAAGGAAUUGACGGGGGCCCGCACAAGCGGUGGAGUAUGUGGUUUAAUUCGAUGCAACGCGAAGAACCUUACCUGGCCUUGACAUGUCGAGAACUUUCCAGAGAUGGAUUGGUGCCUUCGGGAACU